rnacentral:tRNA from 1 species
GGUCUAUUAGUCUAGUUGGUUAGGACGUCGGAUUCUGAUCUCGAGAACAGUUCCUUCCGUAAGCCCAGGUUCGAAUCCUGGAUGGACCU